AGAGUUUGAUCCUGGCUCAGAUUGAACGCUGGCGGUAUGCCUUACACAUGCAAGUCGAACGGUAGAGGAGCAAUCCUCGAGAGUGGCGAACGGGUGAGUAAUACAUCGGAACGUGCCCAGUCGUGGGGGAUAACGUAGCGAAAGCUACGCUAAUACCGCAUACGACCCGAGGGUGAAAGCGGGGGACUCGCAAGAGCCUCGCGCGAUUGGAGCGGCCGAUGGCAGAUUAGGUAGUUGGUGGGGUAAAGGCCCACCAAGCCUGCGAUCUGUAGCUGGUCUGAGAGGACGACCAGCCACACUGGGACUGAGACACGGCCCAGACUCCUACGGGAGGCAGCAGUGGGGAAUUUUGGACAAUGGGCGAAAGCCUGAUCCAGCCAUACCGCGUGCGGGAAGAAGGCCUUCGGGUUGUAAACCGCUUUUGUCAGGGAAGAAAUACUUCGGGCUAAUACCCUGGGGUGAUGACGGUACCUGAAGAAUAAGCACCGGCUAACUACGUGCCAGCAGCCGCGGUAAUACGUAGGGUGCAAGCGUUAAUCGGAAUUACUGGGCGUAAAGCGUGCGCAGGCGGUUCUAUAAGACAGAUGUGAAAUCCCCGG
rnacentral:rRNA from 1 species